rnacentral:rRNA from 1 species
CUACGGGCUGCUCCAGUGAGGAAUAUUGGUCAAUGGGCGAGAGCCUGAACCAGCCAUCCCGCGUGCAGGAUGACGGCCCUAUGGGUUGUAAACUGCUUUUCUACUAGAAGAAACCUGAUUACGUGUAAUCAGUUGCCGGUAUAGUAGGAAUAAGCAUCGGCUAACUCCGUGCCAGCAGCCGCGGUAAUACGGAGGAUGCAAGCGUUAUCCGGAUUCAUUGGGUUUAAAGGGUGCGCAGGUUGGCUUUUAAGUCAGUGGUGAAAUGCUGCCGCUUAACGGUAGAAUUGCCAUUGAUACUGGAGUCUAGAAUAUGGUUGAGGUAGGCGGAAUGUGUUGUGUAGCGGUGAAAUGCAUAGAUAUGACACAGAACACCGAUUGCGAAGGCAGCUUACUAAGCCAUUAUUGACGCUGAGGCACGAAAGCGUGGGGAGCGAACAGGAUUAGAUACCCUGGUAGUC